CCCAUUGCACCCCUUUUUUCCCUUAAUAUAUAUAUAUACAUGUAUAGAAAAAAAAAUCAAUAAUAAUGAAAAUGUUCAAAACCCUGAGACUGAUUUGUAGGGUUUGUGGCAAACAGCAAAAAGAAGUCUGUCCUAAAUUAGUGAUCAAUAAAUAUACACAUCUAUAAACUUUUGUCCUUUAAAUGUGGUACUUUAUUGCAAAUCUGUAUUCAUGCAGUGCAUGCAUAUCUGAUUUUUUUAUCAGGUUAGAAACAAGAUAAAUAUUAUAAUGUU
rnacentral:lncRNA from 1 species